AAAUUGAAGAGUUUGAUCAUGGCUCAGAUUGAACGCUGGCGGCAGGCCUAACACAUGCAAGUCGAACGGUAACAGGAAGCAGCUUGCUGCUUCGCUGACGAGUGGCGGACGGGUGAGUAAUGUCUGGGAAACUGCCUGAUGGAGGGGGAUAACUACUGGAAACGGUGGCUAAUACCGCAUAACGUCGCAAGACCAAAGAGGGGGACCUUCGGGCCUCUUGCCAUCAGAUGUGCCCAGAUGGGAUUAGCUAGUUGGUGAGGUAACGGCUCACCAAGGCGACGAUCCCUAGCUGGUCUGAGAGGAUGACCAGCCACACUGGAACUGAGACACGGUCCAGACUCCUACGGGAGGCAGCAGUGGGGAAUAUUGCACAAUGGGCGCAAGCCUGAUGCAGCCAUGCCGCGUGUAUGAAGAAGGCUUUCGGGUUGUAAAGUACUUUCAGCGGGGAGGAAGGUGUUGCGGUUAAUAACCGCAGCAAUUGACGUUACCCGCAGAAGAAGCACCGGCUAACUCCGUGCCAGCAGCCGCGGUAAUACGGAGGGUGCAAGCGUUAAUCGGAAUUACUGGGCGUAAAGCGCACGCAGGCGGUCUGUCAAGUCGGAUGUGAAAUCCCCGGGCUCAACCUGGGAACUGCAUUCGAAACUGGCAGGCUUGAGUCUUGUAGAGGGGGGUAGAAUUCCAGGUGUAGCGGUGAAAUGCGUAGAGAUCUGGAGGAAUACCGGUGGCGAAGGCGGCCCCCUGGACAAAGACUGACGCUCAGGUGCGAAAGCGUGGGGAGCAAACAGGAUUAGAUACCCUGGUAGUCCACGCCGUAAACGAUGUCUACUUGGAGGUUGUGCCCUUGAGGCGUGGCUUCCGGAGCUAACGCGUUAAGUAGACCGCCUGGGGAGUACGGCCGCAAGGUUAAAACUCAAAUGAAUUGACGGGGGCCCGCACAAGCGGUGGAGCAUGUGGUUUAAUUCGAUGCAACGCGAAGAACCUUACCUGGUCUUGACAUCCACAGAACUUUCCAGAGAUGGAUUGGUGCCUUCGGGAACUGUGAGACAGGUGCUGCAUGGCUGUCGUCAGCUCGUGUUGUGAAAUGUUGGGUUAAGUCCCGCAACGAGCGCAACCCUUAUCCUUUGUUGCCAGCGAUUAGGUCGGGAACUCAAAGGAGACUGCCAGUGAUAAACUGGAGGAAGGUGGGGAUGACGUCAAGUCAUCAUGGCCCUUACGACCAGGGCUACACACGUGCUACAAUGGCGCAUACAAAGAGAAGCGACCUCGCGAGAGCAAGCGGACCUCAUAAAGUGCGUCGUAGUCCGGAUUGGAGUCUGCAACUCGACUCCAUGAAGUCGGAAUCGCUAGUAAUCGUGGAUCAGAAUGCCACGGUGAAUACGUUCCCGGGCCUUGUACACACCGCCCGUCACACCAUGGGAGUGGGUUGCAAAAGAAGUAGGUAGCUUAACCUUCGGGAGGGCGCUUACCACUUUGUGAUUCAUGACUGGGGUGAAGUCGUAACAAGGUAACCGUAGGGGAACCUGCGGUUGGAUCACCUCCUUA
rnacentral:rRNA from 1 species